UUGUACAAAUCAGAGCUCCCUGUCACCCCAAAUCUGAAAGGAGACGAUGGUAGAUUGCAGCUGCUAGUUCAUGGAUACCCCGUGGGUGUCUUGAUCAGGAGGAGACUAACCUACACAUAUCAGAGGCAUCCCUAGGGUUUGCAUGAACUUGGAGAUGAGACUGCCCUCGUCGUUUCGGUUUGGAGUGAAGGGAGUUCUGAUUCGCGCACAC
rnacentral:pre_miRNA from 1 species